rnacentral:rRNA from 1 species
AUUGAACGCUGGCGGCAGGCUUAACACAUGCAAGUCGAACGAGUGGCGGACGGGUGAGUAAUGCUUGGGGACUGCCCGAUAGAGGGGGAUAACUACUGGAAACGGUGGCUAAUACCGCAUACUAUCGGAUAACCCAUAUGGGAUUUGCUAGUAGGGGGGGUAAAGGCUAACCUAGGCGCAGAUCUCUAGCUGGUCUGAGAGGAUGAUCAGCCACACUGGGACGGUGACACGUCCCAGACUCCUACGGAGGCAGCAGUGGGGAAUAUUGCACAAUGGGCUCAAGCCUGAUGCAGCCAUGCCGCGUGUAUGAAGAAGGCCUUAGGGUUGUAAAGUACUUUCAGCGGGGAGGCGUUACCCGCAGAAGAAGCACCGGCUAACUCCGUGCCAGCAGCCGCGGUAAUUC